ensembl:lncRNA
GCCCAACAGACGCCGCUGAUUGAAGGCAAAGAUCUCUUCCCCUCCCGUCUCCGUCUCUGCUUACAGUCAUCGGCCCCUCCUUGCCAAGGGGAAGGAGAAAAGCCCCAGCAGGUUGGAAUGGACUUCAGACCCUGGCCCUUCUGGAUGCAAGGAUGAAGUGAUCCCGCCAGCCACAAACCAGCCGAGAGGCCAAGGAGCGAUCCCCCACAAGAGUUUGGGACCAAAGAGAGAAGCAUGGAUCUUGGUACAGCUGAAGGCGCUCUAUGCCCUGACCCAUCCUCAGGAAAACCCGCGAUGGCGGCCAAGCGCAAAGGCGGCCUGAAGCUCAAUGCCAUCUGUGCCAAGUUGAGCCGCCAGGUGGUGGUGGAGCAGGGAGCAGAGACAGGCCCCCAGCCAGAAGGCGGCCAAGGCAACCCCCUGCGGCCCCGGGAGAAGGAGCAGGGCGGUGGGGUGGAGGCCAAGGUCACCCAGACGCCUCGCAGUGAGGAGGACAGGCGGCGGGCCGUGAUCGAGAAGUGGGUGAAUGGGGAGUACAGCGAGGAGCCAUCCCCAGCCCCAAUCAUAGGGCGCAGCGUCCGCGAGGGCCUCGAGCUGCCCCCCGAGGGUGUCUACAUGGUACAGCCCCAGGGGUGCAGCGAUGAGGAGGACCACGCAGAAGAAACUCGGGGGCCCGCCUCCCAGAGCAGCGGCUUCCUGGAAGAACGGGACUCAGACGGGCCAGCGCCCAAGGAAGAGGGUGCAAGCAAUGCCAAGCAGGCUUCAGGAGAAGCCUCCUCCCUCCGAGACUACGCCGCCACCACCAUGAAUGAGUUCCUGGGCAUGUUUGGCUACGAUGACCAGAACGUGAGGGACGAGCUGGCCCGCAAGGUCAGCUUUGAGAAGCUCCACGCCACCGCGGCCCCCGAGGCCUCCCCGGUGCCCCCAGCCUCGGAGGACAGCAAGAGGCCCAGGUUCUCCAAGUACGAGGAGUACAUCCGUAAGCUCAAGGCCGGCGAGCAGCUCCCGUGGCCCACGCACAGCGCCAAGGCCGAGGAGAGAGCGGGCAAAGAAGCCGGGCCCAUGCCGGGCCUGCGGCUGCCCAGCAACACGGCCAACCUGGAGACCAAGGCCACCAUCCUGCCCCUGCCCUCUCACAGCAGCGCCCAGAUGCAGGGGCUGGUGGCCCGCGCCUCCAAGUAUGACUUCUUCAUCCAGAAGCUGAAGACCAGCGAGAGUCUGAGACCCCAGAAUGGCAACACCUACAAGAAGCCGUCCAAGUAUGACCUGGAGAACGUCAAGUACCUGCACCUCUUCAAGCCCGGGGAGGGCAACCCAGACAUGGGGGGCGCCAUCGCCUUCAAGACCGGCAAGGUGGGGCGCCCCUCCAAGUACGACGUCCGCAACAUCCAGAAGCUGGCGCCCGUCAAAGCACCCCCCGCCCCCAGCCUGGCCCCCGCACCCCUGGCCAGCGCUCCAGGCGCCGCCCCCGUGGUGGGGCCCGAGCCACCCGUCUCCCUGCCUUUCAACACCCCCGAGUACCUGAAGUCGACCUUCUCCAAGACAGAUUCCAUCACAACGGGGACUGUCUCCACCGUCAAGAACGGAUUGCCCACAGAUAAACCAGCUGUCACCGAAGAUGUAAAUAUUUACCAGAAAUAUAUUGCCAGGUUCUCUGGCAGUCAGCACUGCGGCCACAUACACUGUGCAUACCAGUACCGGGAACACUACCACUGCCUGGACCCUGAGUGCAACUAUCAGAGAUUCACCAGUAAGCAGGACGUGAUCCGUCACUACAACAUGCACAAGAAGAGAGACAACUCCCUGCAGCACGGCUUCAUGCGCUUCAGCCCCCUGGACGACUGCAGCGUCUACUAUCAUGGCUGCCACCUCAAUGGGAAGAGCACGCACUACCACUGCAUGCAGGUGGGCUGCAACAAGGUCUACACGAGCACCUCGGACGUCAUGACCCACGAGAACUUCCACAAAAAAAACACUCAGCUCAUCAACGAUGGCUUCCAGCGCUUCCGGGCCACUGAGGACUGUGGCACUGUGGACUGCCAGUUUUACGGGCAGAAAACCACGCACUUUCAUUGCAGGCGCCCCGGGUGCACGUUCACGUUCAAGAACAAGUGUGACAUCGAGAAGCACAAAAGCUACCACAUCAAGGACGACGCGUACGCCAAGGACGGCUUUAAGAAGUUCUACAAGUACGAGGAGUGCAAGUACGAGGGCUGCGUGUACAGCAAGGCCACCAACCACUUCCACUGCAUCCGCGCCGGCUGCGGCUUCACCUUCACCUCCACCAGCCAGAUGACCUCGCACAAGCGCAAGCACGAGCGCCGCCACAUCCGCUCGGCGGGGGUGCUGGGGCUGCCGGCCGCGCUGCUGGGCGCCAAGGACAACGAGCUCGAGGAGUCCAGCAACGACGACCUGGUCGACUUCUCGGCCAUGAGCAGCAAGAACUCGAGCCUGAGCGCGUCGCCCACCAGCCAGCAGUCGGCCGCCUCCCUGGCGGCGCCCGGCGAGGCCCCGCCGCCCCCCGCCGCGGCCAAGCCGCCCAACAGCAAGAUGUCCGGC